rnacentral:rRNA from 1 species
ACAAUGAAGAGUUUGAUCCUGGCUCAGGAUGAACGCUAGCUACAGGCUUAACACAUGCAAGUCGAGGGGCAUCAGGAAGAAAGCUUGCUUUCUUUGCUGGCGACCGGCGCACGGGUGAGUAACACGUAUCCAACCUGCCCUUUACUCGGGGAUAGCCUUUCGAAAGAAAGAUUAAUACCCGAUAGCAUAAUGAUUCCGCAUGGUUUCAUUAUUAAAGGAUUCCGGUAAAGGAUGGGGAUGCGUUCCAUUAGGUUGUUGGUGAGGUAACGGCUCACCAAGCCUUCGAUGGAUAGGGGUUCUGAGAGGAAGGUCCCCCACAUUGGAACUGAGACACGGUCCAAACUCCUACGGGAGGCAGCAGUGAGGAAUAUUGGUCAAUGGGCGGUAGCCUGAACCAGCCAAGUAGCGUGAAGGAUGAAGGCUCUAUGGGUCGUAAACUUCUUUUAUAUAAGAAUAAAGUGCAGUAUGUAUACUGUUUUGUAUGUAUUAUAUGAAUAAGGAUCGGCUAACUCCGUGCCAGCAGCCGCGGUAAUACGGAGGAUCCGAGCGUUAUCCGGAUUUAUUGGGUUUAAAGGGAGCGUAGGUGGACUGGUAAGUCAGUUGUGAAAGUUUGCGGCUCAACCGUAAAAUUGCAGUUGAUACUGUCAGUCUUGAGUACAGUAGAGGUGGGCGGAAUUCGUGGUGUAGCGGUGAAAUGCUUAGAUAUCACGAAGAACUCCGAUUGCGAAGGCAGCUCACUGGACUGCAACUGACACUGAUGCUCGAAAGUGUGGGUAUCAAACAGGAUUAGAUACCCUGGUAGUCCACACAGUAAACGAUGAAUACUCGCUGUUUGCGAUAUACAGUAAGCGGCCAAGCGAAAGCAUUAAGUAUUCCACCUGGGGAGUACGCCGGCAACGGUGAAACUCAAAGGAAUUGACGGGGGCCCGCACAAGCGGAGGAACAUGUGGUUUAAUUCGAUGAUACGCGAGGAACCUUACCCGGGCUUAAAUUGCAGUGGAAUGAUGUGGAAACAUGUCAGUGAGCAAUCACCGCUGUGAAGGUGCUGCAUGGUUGUCGUCAGCUCGUGCCGUGAGGUGUCGGCUUAAGUGCCAUAACGAGCGCAACCCUUAUCUUUAGUUACUAACAGGUUAUGCUGAGGACUCUAGAGAGACUGCCGUCGUAAGAUGUGAGGAAGGUGGGGAUGACGUCAAAUCAGCACGGCCCUUACGUCCGGGGCUACACACGUGUUACAAUGGGGGGUACAGAAGGCAGCUAGCGGGUGACCGUAUGCUAAUCCCAAAAGCCUCUCUCAGUUCGGAUCGAAGUCUGCAACCCGACUUCGUGAAGCUGGAUUCGCUAGUAAUCGCGCAUCAGCCACGGCGCGGUGAAUACGUUCCCGGGCCUUGUACACACCGCCCGUCAAGCCAUGGGAGCCGGGGGUACCUGAAGUACGUAACCGCAAGGAUCGUCCUAGGGUAAAACUGGUGACUGGGGCUAAGUCGUAACAAGGUAGCCGUACCGGAAGGUGCGGCUGGAACACCUCCUUU